rnacentral:lncRNA from 1 species
CUGUUUUAUCAUAUACUUAGCAUUGAUAUGAUAGCUUUUGCAUAUGUGUAAUGAGCGGAAGUACACAAGCCAUAAUUUCCCACCCGGGCUGAUAACCCAUAUCAUGUGCAUCUCGUGCACAAAACCCAUAAUAGUGCCUCUCGUGCAAGUUACUUCCGGUGUUUCCGGUAUCGGUUGUUUACUUUUCCAUUGUGACGUCAGAUGUUUUUUAUGACGACGUCAAAAUU